rnacentral:lncRNA from 1 species
CCCAAGUUGCAAAAAACAAAAACAAAAUCAAAAUCAAAAACAAAACAAAAAUCAAAACAAAAAAAAACUUGAUUGCAUCACUAGAACUGUCUUAUGUUCAAAUAUUUUGCUCAAACUAUUUUUAUGUUCAAACUAUCUUGUGAAUAAAUAUUGAGUUCUAAGAAAGCCAUUAUUUCCUUCAAACCAAUGUCCACAUGUUGGUAAAUAACUAAUUGUACAUGAUUCUUGCCCAAUAGUAUUUGAUUAUAUUAAAAUAUAUUUUAAACCAAAACUUUCCUUAUUUUACAUUAUGUGUUUACUUAUUCUUCAUGAGAGAUAUAAAAAGAUGAAUAUUAACAAAAACAGUAUUUAUCAGUAAGUUACGGGGCUAGACAGAAGGCUCAGAAGUUAAGAGCAGUUGCUGGUCUUGCAGAGAGAGGUUCCUGCUUGGAUUCUCACUUCCCACAUUGGCAAGCAGGGAAAGCACUUAAGAAAUUUGUCUAGUAAAGAUGGUAAGAGUGAUUGCACUGGCUGGUUUUGUGUGUCAACUUGACACAAGCUGGAGUUUUCACAGAGAAAGAAGACUCCCUUGGGGAAAUGCUUCCAUGAGACCCACCUGUAAGGAAUUUUCUCAAUUGGUGAUCAAGGAGGGAGGGCCCAGCCCAUUGUGGAUGGUGCCAUCCCUGGGCUGGUAUUCUUGGGUUCUAUAAGAAAGGAAGCUGAGCAAGCCAGGGGAAGCAAUCCAGUAAGCAGCACCCCACGGUGCCCUCUGCAUUGGCUUCUGCCUCCAGGUUCCUGUCCUGUGUGUGAGUUCCUGUUCUGACUUCCUUUGGUAAUGAACAGCAAAGUGGCAGUGUAAGCUGAAUAAACCCUUUGCUUCUCAACUGACUUUUUGGUCGUGAUAUUUUGUGUAGGAAUAGAAACCCUAAGACAGUAAUUUUGUUGUUUCUUCUAAUGUUUAACAGGGGGAUUUAAUAAUUUAUGAAUAAACAGGAGUAUGAAGUUAGAUAUUUAAUAGGAAAUAAGAAAUAAAUAUGCUUAUUUCACCCUACAUGCUUUAUUUUUCACUCCUCGAAGUUAUGGCAUACAGAUCAGAAAUCACAAUUAUGGAUAAAUGAAAGAGGCUUCAAAGAGUUCUAGCAACUUAUGAACUCAGUUAUUAGUAAUUUGGGGUUGUUGAUUGUAGUAGCUGAUGUUCACAUUGCUUUCAUUUAUAAAAAAAAAAAAAAAAAAAAAAAAAAAAAAAAAAAAAAAAAAAAAAAAAACUCAUGUAUCGAAGACCCAGCAGUCAUCCUGAAAUAAAGAGAAAUUAUUAGAAUUCUGUCUAUGUAUGUCUUCAAACUUCAUGGAAUUAGAAGAACAAAUGAUGUCAACACCUAGAGCAUGGAAGAAGAAUUUGUCAAUGCCACUGAUCUCAGUGGAGGGAAUGGUACCCAAGACUAAGCAAAGCUGAAUUUUUCUAAGAGCAAUGGCAAAGAGAGCUGCUAGUUACCAAACUAGGGCAAAAGAAAACAAAAUAAAACAAAACCAAGUCCUAUUAGUAAGCCAGGCAGAGGUUCAGAUCAAAUCAAUAGCAGCAAAGGUGCUCUUUCUUGUAGUCUUCUCGUUAACUUUCUUCUGCUUGGAUAUGAAAGUUGUGCAAGAAGAAUGAUCUGUCUAAUAUUUACAUACAGAGCCUAAUAAAUUUGAUUUGGAAAGGAAAUGAUAUGCAAAUAAGAUCCACUAAGGCACUUAGUACUAACAACUGAUUUCUUAAAACCAAUUAAAUAGACUAUUCAUAAAUUCUUUAAACAUGUGCAUAGUUUGUCUUACAUUAUAGUGAGUCAUUAAUUCCUGUAUUUAGGGCAUUAUAUGAUCAUUAUUUUUCAAUCAGGAAAGAUAAUUGUCAUUAACAAUAGAAACAUGCCUUCAUUAUUAGAGACCAAAUUCAGUCCAUGUACUUUUGCCUUUGGAGCCUCUAAUGACUCUAAAAUAUUAAUUAAUGUAGCCAUAUUUGGACAAGUAUUUAAAAAAUACUGUAUAGAAUGCGAUAGGACAACAAAUAGUAAAAUAGUAAUGAAUAAUGUCACCAUAAGGAAGUAGUUUGUGAUUAGGAAUUAUAUAACAUAAUGAGGCAAAUUUUAGAA